UACGAAGGGGUACAACGUUGCUCGGAAUCAUUGGGCGUAAAGCGCACGUAGGCGGCUUCGCAAGUCGGAUGUGAAAUCCCUCGGCUCAACCGAGGACGUGCAUCCGAAACUGCGGAGCUUGAGUACUGAAGAGGAUCGCGGAAUUCCCGGUGUAGAGGUGAAAUUCGUAGAUAUCGGGAGGAACACCAGUGGCGAAGGCGGCGAUCUGGGCAGAUACUGACGCUGAGGUGCGAAAGCGUGGGGAGCAAACAGGG
rnacentral:rRNA from 1 species